rnacentral:rRNA from 1 species
UACGAAGGGGGAGAGCGUUGUUCGGAAUUACUGGGCGUAAAGCGUGCGCAGGCGGCUUCUCAAGUCAGGGGUGAAAGCCCAGAGCUCAACUCUGGAAUUGCCUUUGAGACUGAGUGGCUUGAGUACGAGAGAGGUGAGUGGAAUUCCCAGUGUAGAGGUGAAAUUCGUAGAUAUUGGGAAGAACACCGGUGGCGUAGGCGGCUCACUGGCUCGUAACUGACGCUCAUGCACGACAGCGUGGGGAUCAAACAGG